AUAGCGUAUAUUAAAGUUGUUGCAGUUAAAAAGCUCGUAGUUGAACUUCAGGCCUGGCCGGAUGGUCUGCCUAACGGUAUGUACUGUCUGGCUGGGUCUUACCUCUUGGUGAGCCGGCAUGCCCUUCACUGGGUGUGUUGGGGAACCAGGACUUUUACCUUGAGAAAAUUAGAGUGUUCAAAGCAGGCCUAUGCCUGAAUACAUUAGCAUGGAAUAAUAAAAUAGGACGUGCGGUUCUAUUUUGUUGGUUUCUAGAGUCGCCGUAAUGAUUAAUAGGGAUAGUUGGGGGCAUUGGUAUUGAGUCGCUAGAGGUGAAAUUCUUGGAUUGACGCAAGACCAACUAUUG
rnacentral:rRNA from 1 species